AGACAUGAAAAAUUAGAACAGGAGCUCAGAGCACUCGGGAGAGCAGGGGAAAUGACAGUUGAAAUUAGAACAGGAGCUAAGAGGAGCCAGCAGAAGGGGACGGCAGGAACUAGGAAAUUUAAGGCGGGGAGAAACAACUGAGAGAAGUGGACAGAAAAAAGAAAGCUUAGCAUAAAUAAGAAGGCCCGGGACUCCCGUGCGUCCAGUAGACCUGCUCUGCUAUGGAUCAAAACAAAUGAUUUGUCAUUCUGAAAUGACUCUGAAAGGGGGAAUGGAAUGUGCCCCAACGAUCAAUAUUAAAUUUUAUGCCUGCUGCACCUUUCAAAAGGCUCAAGAAGACAUUGAUUCAAGCGCACCUCUGACAGAAGUUUCUAC
rnacentral:lncRNA from 1 species